ACCCUUCCCCUCCCCUCUCCUUCAGACACCACAAAUUCACUCAAAAUCAAGGAGUGCAGCAAGGAAAUGGGAGGAGCAAGAAGGCGAGGAGAGGCAGCGGCAACACGGAGGAACAGCCGCAUAAACCGAGGAUCCACCGAGUGAGGUUGAACGUCAAGAGGAUGGAGUGAUGAUCGGAGUCGAUGUUAUCAAGUUGAUCUCCCAACGAUUCGUGUCUUCAUACACGAAGUCGUUUAGCAAUGACUUAUUCCGCUGUGCUUUUGUGCUUUUAGAAUUAUGGAACCUCACCAUCAACUCUGAUUUAAUUGAGGGGAUGUCUAUUCUGUUUUCAAGACCAUAUAAUGAAAUACUUGGCUUCUAUGAUAUCAAUUGACUUGGCCUUGUGAAA